rnacentral:rRNA from 1 species
CCCUUAGAUGUUCUGGGCUGCACGCGCGCUACACUGAUGCACUCAUCGAGUUUAUGACCUUGUCCGAUAGGAUUGGGUAAUCUUCUUAAAAUGCAUCGUGAUGGGGAUAGAUUAUUGCAAUUAUUAAUCUUCAACGAGGAAUUCCUAGUAAGCGCGAGUCAUCAUCCCGCGCUGAAUACGUCCCUGCCCUUUGUACACACCGCCCGUCGCUCCUACCGAUUGAGUGGUCCGGUGAGGCUUUGGGAUCUGAGCGGAAAGAGCGUUUCGCUGUUUCUGCUCGGAAAACUCAGUCGAACCUUAUCAUUUAGAGGAAGGAGAAGUCGUAACA